rnacentral:rRNA from 1 species
ACGCACUCUUCGGAGUGAGUGGCAGACGGGUGAGUAACGCGUGGGAACCUACCUAGUGGUGCGGAAUAGCCUCGGGAAACUGGGAAUAAUACCGCAUACGCCCUUCGGGGGAAAGAUUUAUCGCCAUUAGAUGGGCCCGCGUUUGAUUAGCUAGUUGGUGGGGUAAUGGCCUACCAAGGCGACGAUCAAUAGCUGGUCUGAGAGGAUGAUCAGCCACACUGGGACUGAGACACGGCCCAGACUCCUACGGGAGGCAGCAGUGGGGAAUAUUGGACAAUGGGCGCAAGCCUGAUCCAGCCAUGCCGCGUGAGUGAUGAAGGCCUUAGGGUUGUAAAGCUCUUUUACCGGUGAAGAUAAUGACGGUAACCGGAGAAAAAGCCCCGGCUAACUUCGUGCCAGCAGCCGCGGUAAUACGAAGGGGGCUAGCGUUGUUCGGAUUUACUGGGCGUAAAGCGCACGUAGGCGGAUUGGUCAGUUAGGGGUGAAAUCCCAGAGCUCAACUCUGGAACUGCCUUUAAUACUGCCAAUCUUGAGUCCGAGAGAGGUGAGUGGAAUUCCUAGUGUAGAGGUGGAAUUCGUAGAUAUUAGGAAGAACACCAGUGGCGAAGG